GUGAACGCUGGCGGCGUGCUUAACACAUGCAAGUCGAACGGACUUAAGGGGCUUGCUUCUUAAGUUAGUGGCGCACGGGUGAGUAAUAUAUAGCUAACCUGCCCUUUAGUGGGGGACAACAGUUGGAAACGACUGCUAAUACCCUAUACUCCUUCUUACUAUAAGGUAAGUUGGGAAAGAUUUAUCGCUAAAGGAUGGGGCUUUAUUGUAUCAGCUAGUUGGUGGGGUAAUGGCCUACCAAGGCUAUGACGCAUACCUGGUCUGAGAGGAUGAUCAGGCACACUGGGACUGAGACACGGUCCAGACUCCUACGGGAGGCAGCAGUGGGGAAUAUUGCACAAUGGAGGAAACUCUGAUGCAGCAACGCCGCGUGGAGGAUGACGCAUUUCGGUGUGUAAACUCCUUUUAUAGGGGAAGAUAAUGACGGUACCCUAUGAAUAAGCACCGGCUAACUCCGUGCCAGCAGCCGCGGUAAUACGGAGGGUGCAAGCGUUACUCGGAAUCACUGGGCGUAAAGGAUGCGUAGGCUGGAAAUCAAGUCGAGAGUGAAAUCCAACGGCUCAACCGUUGAACUGCUCUCGAAACUGGUUACCUAGAAUAUGGGAGAGGUAGAUGGAAUUAGUGGUGUAGGGGUAAAAUCCGUAGAUAUCACUAGGAAUACCGAUUGCGAAGGCGAUCUACUGGAACAUUAUGACGCUGAGGCA
rnacentral:rRNA from 1 species